CUUUCUUGCCCCAGCUCUGGAUAGGUUCCCAGGCUUCAUUAGAAUUCAUGGACGGUUAUCUGCAAAGACUUCUGGACAAGAAGCACAUCCAGUACUUCCUAAAAGAGCAGAUGGGACCAUAGCAAGAAUCUCUUUGCUGCCCGACACAUGAGAAGCGGCCUGCCCAGCUGGCACUUGCUCUCCUACAACCAGCCUCAACAAGGCAUCGAGCUGCCUGCACCAGUGACAGCAAAGCAGCACCUGCCUGUCUGCAGCUCAGGGAUUUUCUCUCGCCCUCAGUCGUACAGCCUUAGCCUUCCAGGUGGUUUCUAGGGCUGGCACAGAAAAAUGGAUCUGUGGCAGUCAUGGUUCCUGGACUUCUAGAAAUGACUAUAUUCCAGGAGAUGCAGAAAUGCUACUGAACAUGGAUGUGCAGCACCACAGAAAACCUAUGUGGGAUCCUGAUCACCAGUGGAAGCCCGGCUCCUUAGAGAGCUAAGAUGGAACAAAGAAAAUUCCCAGGCCCGGGAACCACCAGAGGUACUACCUUAUUUGCUCAAAAGGUAGGUUAUGCCCAUAAGGGGCAGACCACGCAUGGCUCUACCUCUCUCUCUCUCUCUACACACACACACACUCUCUCUCUCUCUCUCUCUCUCCUGCUUUUAUUGUGCCAUUUUGGAUCUGUAGGAACUUGGGCUUGAAGAGCUACAUGAUCUGAAAU